UACGGAGGGUGCAAGCGUUAUCCGGAUUCACUGGGUUUAAAGGGUGCGUAGGUGGCUAUUUAAGUCAGUGGUGAAAGCCCGCGGCUCAACCGUGGAAUUGCCAUUGAAACUGAGUAGCUUGAGUACAGUUGAAGUGGGCGGAAUAUAUCAUGUAGCGGUGAAAUGCUUAGAUAUGAUAUAGAACACCGAUUGCGAAGGCAGCUCACUAAGCUGUAACUGACACUGAGGCACGAAAGCGUGGGGAGCAAACAGG
rnacentral:rRNA from 1 species